ACACACACACACACACACACACACACACACACACACACACACACACACACACACACAAGUGAAUUCAAACUCAGCAAACUAAAUGCAUAAUUAACAACAAACAUUAUUCAAAUCACAUAAAUUAUGUAAAAAUAACAUUUCAGGUAACAAACUGUGUGCAUAAUGACAGAAAACAUAAGUUAGCAGAUGAUUUUUUUUAAUUUACAAACUAAUAAUAGUUUUAACUAUUAAAAACUGAUACAAAUUUUAUUAGCAUUAGUAAAAAGAUAUAAUAUAGAGAGAUUGUGCAGAUGAUGAAUUUAAUAAGCAUGAGCUACACACCAGUGCCAUGAUGGGGAAGCUCUUUGGGUGUAAUAUAUUUAUUACAUUGUUUUUGUCUAAAAGCAUUCUAUAUAGACUCUAAAGUGAAGGUCUGGGUGUUCACUCCAAAUAAUUUAAUACUCUCAGUCAAUAUCAAUGAUGUAAGUUAUAAAACAUUCCCAGCUGUAGCAGUUGAAUUCCUAUCCAUGACUGACUGCUUGAUGCUCUUAAUCUUGUUUGUAGAAAUUGGGUCUGUCAACAUAUUCUUGCUGCGUAUUCAAUAUUUUAUUAAUAAGAGUAUAAAAUACUGGUAUUUUCAGGGCUUGGAUAGGGAUCUUUGUUUUUCAGUCUGUCAUAAACCAUCAAUUGCCUCCUAUAAACAGCUUUUUUUUGUUUGCAGUUUUUUAAUAGAGCACUCAGCUUUAGAAUCCUAUGUUAUAGCCAAGUAGCUAUUAUCCUGCUGAGGCUGUGGAUGUGGUUCCCCAGUAGUACACAUUGUACUUCUAUAUAGUCCUAAUUGAGUGACUACUUUCUUAUACACAGAGGAGAGCUUUUUAUAAGUAUAGCUGUUUUUUGCAUCCUGCAUAAUGCUAGAUAACAUAAGCUUCUAAAACUGAGAGCACUAUUAAAGUACAAAAGAAAAUAGUUUGAGGUAGCUGACAGUUUGACAAACUGGAGAAUAACAAGAAUUCCUAUCCAAGCUCUGAAAGUGCUGGUAUUUAUUCUGUACUCUCUAUUAAUAAAAUAUUGAAUGAGCGGAAAGAGUAUGUUUGUAGGACUUCUAGAUCUCUACAAAUUAGAGCAUCAAGUAGACAGUCAUGAGUAGUUCUAGCUGGGAAUGUUUCACUUACAAUAUCAACAUUGACUGGAGGGAGAACUAGGCAUUAAACCAUUUGUGAAAAUAUGCAAAAUAAUUUAUAAAAUAAUUUAAAAGCUUAAAAAUGCUAUUAGUGAUGUUUAGAGGCUAGAGACUAUAGGGAUUUUAUAUAGGUUCUUAGUUUUUUUAAUUAAAUCAAAAAAUGAUUUAGGUUGAAUAAAGUCAUGAAUCUUGGAAAUGAAUUAACAUCAUCAGGUGAAGUAUGGCUGUAGUUACAACUCUAAUCUAGUGGAUGUUUUCA
rnacentral:lncRNA from 1 species